rnacentral:rRNA from 1 species
GAUCCUGGCUCAGGACGAACGCUGGCGGCGUGCUUAACACAUGCAAGUCGAACGGAGCACCCUUGAAUGAGACUUCGGUCAAAGGAAAGGAAUGCUUAGUGGCGGACUGGUGAGUAACGCGUGAGGAACCUGCCUUUCAGAGGGGGACAACAGCUGGAAACGGCUGCUAAUACCGCAUGACGCAUUCGGAUGGCAUCAUCUGAAUGCCAAAGAUUUAUCGCUGAAAGGUGG